rnacentral:rRNA from 1 species
GACGAACGCUGGCGGCGUGCCUAAUACAUGCAAGUUGAGCGCUGAAGGUUGGUACUUGUACCGACUGGAUGAGCAGCGAACGGGUGAGUAACGCGUGGGGAAUCUGCCUUUGAGCGGGGGACAACAUUUGGAAACGAAUGCUAAUACCGCAUAAAAACUUUAAACACAAGUUUUAAGUUUGAAAGAUGCAAUUGCAUCACUCAAAGAUGAUCCCGCGUUGUAUUAGCUAGUUGGUGAGGUAAAGGCUCACCAAGGCGAUGAUACAUAGCCGACCUGAGAGGGUGAUAGGCCACAUUGGGACUGAGACACGGCCCAAACUCCUACGGGAGGAAGCAGUAGGGAAUCUUCGGCAAUGGACGAAAGUCUGACCGAGCAACGCCGCGUGAGUGAAGAAGGUUUUCGGAUCGUAAAACUCUGUUGGUAGAGAAGAACGUUGGUGAGAGUGGAAAGCUCAUCAAGUGACGGUAACUACCCAGAAAGGGACGGCUAACUACGUG